rnacentral:rRNA from 1 species
UACGUAGGUGACAAGCGUUGUCCGGAUUUACUGGGCGUAAAGAGCGCGCAGGCGGUCGUUCAAGUCGAGUGUGAAAGCCCCCGGCUCAACUGGGGAGGGUCACUCGAUACUGAUCGACUCGAAGGCAGGAGAGGGUAGUGGGAUUCCCGGUGUAGUGGUGAAAUGCGUAGAUAUCGGGAGGAACACCAGUGGCGAAGGCGACUACCUGGCCUGUUCUUGACGCUGAGGCGCGAAAGCUAGGGGAGCAAACGGG